rnacentral:lncRNA from 1 species
AUGCCGAGGGCCGGGGCGUGCUGGGGACCCUGCUGUGGUUCCCCCCGUGUGCUCGGUGCAGGUGGGGAAACUGAGGCAGGGGUGAGGCUGGGGAGGGCAGGGUCUGUCCCCCACCCCUCACAGCCCCGCUGCAGCCCCACGGCGCGCUGGGUGCUGCCUGCAGGGCUGGGUGCUGGGGGGGUGCUGGGGGGGUGCAGCGCUGCAGCCAGGGCUGGGAGCAAUGUGGGUGCAGAGCUGGGUGCAGGCGGGGUGCAGGGUGCGUGCGGGGCAUUUGUAGGGUGGGUGCAAUGCUGGGUGCAGGAUGGGUGCAGGAUGGGUGCAGGCUGGGUGCAGGACUGGUUGCAGUGCAGGGUGGGUGCAGGAUGGUUGCAGGAGGGGUGCAGGAUGGUUGCAGGACGGGUGCAGGAUGGUUGCAGGCUGUUCCAGGCUGGCUGCAGGCUGGGUGCAGGCUGGGUGCAGGGCUGGGCUCUGCACACCGCAGUGGGGGAGGGGUUGGCGCUGCAGCCCAGAGCUGGGUGUGCNNNNNNNNNNNNNNNNNNNNNNNNNNNNNNNNNNNNNNNNNNNNNNNNNNNNNNNNNNNNNNNNNNNNNNNNNNNNNNNNNNNNNNNNNNNNNNNNNNNNGGGGGGGGGGGAAGCUCGGAGGUCGCUGGUGAAAGUCAAAAGCAUUGCAGUAAAAUGGUAAUCAAUCUCCCCAGUCGAUUGUGCCAGGACCUUCGAAGCAUUACGGAGAGAUUCCUCCCAACUGCUCCCUACGGCAGCAGCGUGCGGGGGGGGGGCCGUGCUGCAGCCCUGCAGCCCCAGCCCCGUGGCCCCCACCCCUGCGCCCCCCCAGCCCUGCGCACCCAGGCACUGGGGGCACGGGGAGCCAGGAGGACGGGGCCCCUUGCACCCUUUUGGGGUGCUCUGGGAUGGGGGGGACCUCGCAGCGAUGGCCCCAGCGGGCUGGGGGGGGGUGCAGGGGGGGGCCUGGGCUCUGCCCUGCCGCAAGCUUCCCCCAGCAGUGCCCUUUGGCUGAGCCCAGCGGGGCGAGCAGAUGGGCGCCGGGGUGCGGGAGGGGGGGGGUCAGGCAGCGAGCCCUGGAGGGGGGGCACCGCGCUCCCCCUGGCACGCCGCAGCAGCCCCCCCAGGCCUGGCAGCCGCUUAUCUCCCCUCCCCAGCCCGGCGAGAGGCAGAUGGCACCAAUCUGCCGGGGGAACCCGUGCCAGGGCGCCCGGCCCGAGCGCGCCCGCUGCCCGCUGCCCGUGCCAGGCCGGCGGUGCCAAGCGGCCGUGCAGCUCCCCCCCGGUUGGAGGAGCAGGCAUUACCCCCCCCCCCGAGCAAAAAUAUCCAUGGGGAGGCUGUCGGGGUGCGCAAUAUUUGGGGUCUGCCCUUCGCAGACACACAUGGGGCGCUGGCGGGCAGGUGGGCCCUGAUAACCCCCCCCAGCAGCCAGAUAAACACACGCUCCCCCCCCUUAGCACCCCCCCACACACACCAGGUAUCGCUCCCCUCGCAGCCAAACCGCCGGGGGAGCCGGGGCUGAGGUCCUGGAGAUAGGCAGAGCCCCGAGGCUGGGAGGGGAGACGCCCCCCCACCCCCAAACACAACGCGCACAAUGUUAGUAGCCAGCAGAGAAUCUCCAGGCUGCGGGAGCUGCGUGUUGGAAAGGGGACGGCAGCGGUGCGAGGGGCACACGGGGGGGGUGCUGGUCCCAGGGUUCCUGUCCCCUGCACCGUCACCCCCCCGGGGGUGUCCCCAUGGCAAGGGCCAUGCUCCUGUCCCCUCUCCGUGCCGGUGCCCGCGGUGGUUUCGGCACGUGGAGCUCCCAGCUCGACGCGCCCUUGGGAGGUCAGGGUGUCCCCGGCACCCCGCGGUGCCCAGCCCCGUGUCCCCAUGUCCCCAGGGGCAGGGGGCUCUGCCAGCACCCCCCUGGGCCAGAACAAGCCUCGGGCACAGCGUCCCCAGUGCCCCGAGCGGCCCCGUGCUCAGCGAGCGGAGCCCUCGGGACCUGGCACCGGGUGCGAGGGGAACGUCCCCAUCCUCGGGCACGGCGAGGGGACCGGGCUGCCAGCCGUGCCGCUGGCCCCCCGAUGAAUAAAAGAUGAACGCCGU